rnacentral:rRNA from 1 species
AUUAGAGUUUGAUCCUGGCUCAGAACGAACGCUGACGGCAUGCCUAACACAUGCAAGUCGAACGAGACCUUCGGGUUCUAGUGGCGCACGGGUGCGUAACGCGUGGGAAUCUGCCCUUGGGUUCGGAAUAAUCGCCGAAAGGCGUGCUAAUACCGGAUGAUGUCGCAAGACCAAAGAUUUAUCGCCCAAGGAUGAGCCCGCGUAGGAUUAGCUAGUUGGUGAGGUAAAAGCUCACCAAGGCGACGAUCCUUAGCUGGUCUGAGAGGAUGAUCAGCCACACUGGGACUGAGACACGGCCCAGACUCCUACGGGAGGCAGCAGUGGGGAAUAUUGGACAAUGGGCGAAAGCCUGAUCCAGCAAUGCCGCGUGAGUGAUGAGGCCUUAGGGUUGUAAAGCUCUUUUACCCGGGAUGAUAA